rnacentral:lncRNA from 1 species
UUUUUCUUUUUUCUUCCAAAUUCACAGGUUGACGACAGCCACUUUCUGUAAUUCCUCGUGAGCAAACAUCCACCCCCCGAGCAGCUGCUGCCGCUGUGUCCAGUUCAAAGCCCCGUAGAUGUGAUUUGUGGGAUGGAGUCCUCGUAGGGAAUCGUUCUGGGGCUGGCAAGGGGCUGAGCAUCGGACAGCAGUGUUGGAGCUUGCUUCUGGGCUUCAGUGAUGGAAAGGAUUUUCCUGUGGGUCCAACUCAAGUGUGCAACCAGCAGAAGGUCCUGGCCAGCGCGGGUUUGCAUCCUGGUAGGGGGAAGCUUGGAGCAAGCAGGAAUGAGCCAAAGGUACAGAGCUUUCCCCGGAGAUCUGACGUGCUAACGCAGGAGGAUUCGGCAGCUGGAGCCUCCGAAGGUUUCAUUGAGAGCCAGGAGCCUGAUUCUGCCGCCGUCUCACCCAGGAGCUGGUGUUUUCCAGAGGACGAAGGGGGAGUGAGCCCAACCCCAACCGCACGCGUGCACCCAUCAGCGUUAAGCGUCCCUUGUUUUUAA